GACAAUUAGAUCAGGCUUAUAGACAUGCUUGAUUCUUUUAUGUCUUAAUUAUUUCUAUAUAGGAGAUUUAUCUGAACCCAGUAUUUUCACCGCGCAUGCAAUAUAGACAUACAUUUGAAACUAGAUUAUAUUAUUGAGGGAUUGACCUUCUCAUGUAUUUGUACAUUUGACCCUCUCUGUUUGGCAAUCAUGCAGAAGGGGCAUGGCAUCCCUGUUUCCCUUAUGGAAGAGAUCAAAAGCGUGACACGCAAAUAUUUUCAUCAACCCUAUGAGGAGAAAAUCAAGAUCAAACUUUCUGCAGCAACUGGAUACAUGUUUAUUCUUAAAUUGUUAUUAUCAUUAUCUUAAUUAACUACAGUAAUACUAAUUGCCUAUGUAUCUUUACCUGCAGAGGAUAUCGAAGAAUUCGAGAGAAUAUAACUAAAGGCAUAUCUGAUAUGCAAGAAGCUAUUGAUUUCUAUAGAGAAGUGAAACAUGGAAUGUAUGGAGAUCUUGGAGAAGUUAUGCAAGGAUCCAACUUAUGGCCAAGACCCAAGUAACCCUUCAAAGUUCAGAGAGUUGAUGGAGCACUAUAUUGACCUUUGCACAGCCUACAUCCAUCUUACAUGAACAUGAUAAGGCUGAUAAUGUUGUUGGAUGGACUAUUGACAUUACUCAACCAAGAUGAUGACAUAGUUGCCCUUCAGGUAUAAUGGUAGUCCUUAAAGAAUGCUGAAUCUUUACAUGAAAUAUGUUGCUGGUUUUAGUUUAACUACUAAUCAAUUUGAGUUGUUGUAACCACUUCCUGGAACAUUUGUGUGCUAUAUAAGAGAUAUGUUGAAGAUCUUAUCAAACGGAAUUUAUGAAUCAACGUUGCACCGGGUCAUCAAUAACUCCCCCAAAUAUCGUGUUUGUGUCGCCUACUUUUAUGAGGUGACAACUAAAGUACAAGAAUGAUGGUAUGGUUUAAUGUUAGUUUCUGAUGAUGCGUGUUUUAUUUCUCCUAUUGCCCAACUUCUCGAUGCUGCAGUAGAGCCACUGGAUGUUUGUUUACACAAGACUGGUGGCACCAAGAAUUGUGAAGGAGCUGUUUACGGGAAGCAUUUGGUCAGCAAAGUCACAUCCAAUUUUGUUAUGUAGAGAUUGAGCCAAGUCUGAAUUUAUCUCCUCUUUUGUUGGUUUCUUCAGCUGGUUUUGUUAAAAAAUAAGAACGUACAGGACAUCC